rnacentral:lncRNA from 1 species
UUCGAUCUCAUCCUUAAGCUAGAUGCAUUGCUCGGUAUUGUGGCCGUGGCCCCGGUGGAAUCGGCAGUACUUCCGUCGGUCGAGGCCUUUUGCCUUCAGAGGCGGAGGCCGUCGCAGGUACUCUUCCCCCUCGAUCUCCAUCAGAAUCUGCGCACGGGGAGCAGAGAGAGGAGUGUAGGAGUCAUACCUGGGGCGUGUCGGCCUUGGAGUUUGCCG